rnacentral:misc_RNA from 1 species
UUAAGUUUAGCGGGUAGUCUUGCCUGAUUUGAGGUCAAAUUGUCAGAAGUUGUCCCCAAGGACGAUUAGAAGCGGAACCUCUCAAACAAGUUGAGGCUGACACUCUAGCGGCGUAGAUAAUUAUCACACCAAGAGAUGGUCAACAAAGGUCUCACUAAUGCAUUUGAGGAGAGCCGACUUCUGAGAAGCCCGCAACCCCC